rnacentral:lncRNA from 1 species
GAAGUUUAGGGUUUAGGGUUUAGAGUUGAUGUUUUAGGGUUUAAAGUUGAAUGUUUAGGGUUUAGAGUUGAUGUUUUAGGGUUUAAAGUUGAAUGUUUAGGGUUUAGAGUUGAUGUUUCAGGAUUUAGGGUUUAGAGUUGAUGUUUCAGGGUUUAGGGUUCGUAUUUCAAAAAAAAGUAUAGGGUUUAAGAUUGAUGGUUUGGGGUUUGUAUUUCAAAAACAAAUAUAGGGUUUAGGGUUCGUAUUUCAAAAACAAAUAUAGGAUUUAGGGUUUAGAGUUGAGUUUUUGGGUUUAGGGUUAGAAUUUCGAAAUAGUAUAAUUCAAAUAA